AUGCUUCUGGUGACGUGUUUGUCCUCUUUCCACAGGUGUCUUACUACAGUUUGGCUCCACACUUUCUGUUCGCUGUAAAGUCGAACACACUGGUAAUGGGACGUGUUACAGAGUCCCCGAGUUCAAUGGAACCAACUGUGAUUACACCUGGAGCAACAGCACUAACCACGUGCUGGCUCAUAGUCUGGUUGAUGAGGUGAGCGAGCUGGUGGUGAAGAGGACCGACUCGGCUCUAGAGACCAAAGAGUGCGUAGAGAAGAUCCGCUACAGACAAGACUGCCAGGAACAGACCCGUGAAGCGGUUUGUUACACCUGCUGCACUGAACCUGAGAAAAAUGCAGCCACUGCUCAGCCGUUCGUCUACCGGGGCCCUGCAUGCUGCUGCAGAGGACGCUGGUGGCGUCU